rnacentral:lncRNA from 1 species
CACAGCCCACGGCUUUCAAUUUUCAUUUAGAAUCCAAUUUUAUUUAAAGAAGUAAUUAUGGCCAGGUGCAGCGGCUCAUAUCUGUAAUCCCAGGGCUUUGGGAGGCUGAGGUGGGCGCAUCAAGAGGUCAGGAGAUCGAGACCAUCCUGGCUAACAUGGAGAAACCCCGUCUCUACUAAAAAUACAAAAAAAUUAGCCGGGCAUGGUGGCGGGUGCCUGUAGUCCCAGCUACUCAGGAAGCUGAGGCAGGAGAAUGGCAUGAACCCGGGAGGUGGAGCUUUCAGUGAACCGAGAUCGCGCCACUGCACUCCAGCGUGGGCGACAGAGCGAGACUCCAUCUCAAAAAAAAAAAAAAAAAAAAAAAAAAGCAAUUACGAAAAUAAGAAAACAACCCCCUGCCCACAGAGCCAUAACCAUGUGAUUCUUCACAUUCAAACUUCCUCUAGUAUCUUCUAUAUCUAGAAAGUUUCCAAGACUUAAAAGGAGGGUUGAUUUAAAAAAAUAGUAUCUGGGAACUUCUCUGAAAAUCGUAAUAAAAAUGCACAGCCCUCCACUCUUCCUAACAAUCAACAGCGGUCAUAUCAGGAAAAGUGAUUUGAGGGCAGUGAACCCACUUCCCAGAGAAACAAACCAUGACUCGUAAAAGGAAUUUUUAAAAAGUGUGCUUUAAAGUCUUUGGAAACAUCCUACAGGUAUAUAGCAACUGAAAAGUGUCUCCUCAAGAAAGUCUACCAGGUCUCUGUAGAGCUAAGAAGGGCGUGUGGCCCUCCCAGCCCUGCUCAGCAGGACACAGCUCCACUCUGGGCGGCCGCAGGGUCAGGAGGAGGCUCCCUCUCCUCAUGGUCUUUCGGGUCCUGGUGAUUUUCUGGGAGGAGCAGGGCACCAGCUUCCUUACUCCCCCUGGCUGGAUGUCCCUGAGCUAAGUCCCAGGCGACUUCCAUCGCAGGAUGCAGCUCUUUCCCUCAGCCAGCCCCGCUUUGUAGGGCAGAAGCUCCUCCCAGGCUGAGGGCUGAGCUUCCUAGGCAGGUGGCCCUGACCCAGCUUGCUGGUGGGUUUCACACUGAUAGCAGCAAACCCAGAAGACCAGAGAUGGCUUUGACACCAGGCACCCAGCUUUUGAGGCAGGGCACCCCUGAGAGACAGUCCCCCUUGUCUUCACCCCAUCCCAGAUCCAAGUCAGUGGUUCAGAUUUUGCCCAGGGAGAGGCAGGCAGUAAGAACCGAGGCUCCAGAACUCUCUGGGAGAGCUGACUGUAUUUAGAACAGACAGUUGGAACAUUCAGGCCGGGCAGCAUUCCCCAUCACAAUGGAGAUGGUGGUGGCGAGCAAUUAGGAGGGCACAGAGAACUCUGUGACAGCAGCAGUGUCACCUUCAGGCCAGCUAAUUCGCAAGGAGAACACGAAAGUUAUCAUCGGGAAUCCAAGUGCUGUUAUGGAUGGUACAAGUGGCCAAACUUUACAGUAAAAUAUUCCUGUUCUUGAAAAUAAAUGUUAAGGAGUCUGCUUGAAAUACUAAUUAUAUUACUUAAUAAACAGUCUUUUAAAUAAUUAGAUGUUAAAUAUAGUUGACAAAUUUUUU